rnacentral:tRNA from 1 species
CAUUAGGUGGCUGAAAGUAAGCAAUGGUCUCUUAAACCAUCCUAUAGUAAGUAACUCCUACUUCUAAUGA